UUUCCGUAGGUGAACCUGCGGAAGGAUCAUACUGAGUGAGGGCCCCUCGGGGUCCAACCUCCCACCCGUGUUUAACGAACCUUGUUGCUUCGGCGGGCCCGCCUCACGGCCGCCGGGGGGCAUCUGCCCCCGGGCCCGCGCCCGCCGAAGCCACCUGUGAACGCUGUCUGAAGUAUGCAGUCUGAGGCAAUUAUUAAAUUAAUUAAAACUUUCAACAACGGAUCUCUUGGUUCCG
rnacentral:misc_RNA from 1 species